AACAGCAACUGUAGGUCUCCCAAACGAAACCAAACGAUGGCGCAACAAACGUGGAUCAAGCUGAAUUGUCAGCAUCCAGAGUACAAAAUACCUUUCGUGGACCUGGAGUGCGAGGGCAUGAUCACUACUUUUGGUGUGGAUACCGGUCUGUUACGAACCAUGGUUACACCAGAAUAGGUUGAAGAGUGGGACUUGACGGACGUGAUAUCGCCUUUGGAACCAGAGGAUGACAGUUACCUGGGCGGGGUGUUUGUGGAUAUGCUGAUCAACGGCGAGCUAUAAGAACAGCUCUGUAUUGUGAAGGAGGACCUCGAGUACAACCUGCUGGGUCUCGACGUCAUCAAACGUAAUUGUGCCAUAUUAGAUUUUUGCAAUUUUAAACUCGCUUUCCGUGAGUACGUCCCAGAUCUCCCUCUAGAUGUCCCCAGGACAACAGUGAACGUUGAAGGCCAAGACAUAGAAUUGUAGGUCGACACAGGCUGUGGCCCUACUCUAUAUGGGCCAAUGAGUGUAGCGAAGCAACUCAAUCUGCACUUGGUACCUAUUCAGGGACAAUAUCGAAUCCUUGGUAUUGGGUUUACAUAGUACGUUAAAUACAUGGCCUACGAACUGUGCAUUAAGGGGCAUGGCCAGGAGGUGAUUCACGCCGCGUAUGUAGUAGCGGGCGAAAAUACCCCGGAGUGGUCUGCAGGUCCUUAUAUUGGACUAAAUUUCUUUUAUGGAACCAAAAUGCAGUUUAACCCGGACAACACGUUUGAAGUCGAGUUCAUUGGCGGAGAAAAUAAGGCAGUAUGGCAACGCAGGGAAGACGAGGAAAGGAAGAGAAAGGAGAGUAAGGAGGAGAAGGCCCAGGAAUCCAACGAGGAUGCACACGUCGCCACCGAGGAGGCUGCAGAGCUCCAUCAGGACUGAGAAAUGUAUUUUUCUCACAUAUUCGAUUAGUCCAUUAUGUAUGACGACAGCAGGCAUAUGGCCGUGUUUACAGGAAGUCCCUCCUUGAUGUCCCCUGCAACGAAAGCCAUUGCACCGGCCACGCCACCAACACUGGCAGGAGUUAAUGCCCCAUUAUCUUCC